UACGGAGGGGGCUAGCGUUGUUCGGAAUUACUGGGCGUAAAGCGCACGUAGGCGGCUUUGUAAGUCAGAGGUGAAAGCCCGGGGCUCAACCCCGGAUGUGCCUUUGAGACUGCAUCGCUUGAACGUCGGAGAGGUAAGUGGAAUUCCGAGUGUAGAGGUGAAAUUCGUAGAUAUUCGGAGGAACACCAGUGGCGAAGGCGGCU
rnacentral:rRNA from 1 species